rnacentral:misc_RNA from 1 species
AAGUCGUAACAAGGUUUCCGUAGGUGAACCUGCGGAAGGAUCAUUCACUUGAAAUACGAGAUUGGUGUGAUCUCAAAAAUCCAUCAUCUCUAUUUAACCCUUAAACCUAAACUUAACUGAGCCGUGUUUCAACCAAAUCCUGCGAAAACAUAUUUACAUCGGUUAUUUCGAUCGUGUGUUCAUUUUCUGGAAGUAGUGGGUAGGGGUUGUCUAAAUUUAUUUUAGCUGACCUCUGUCUGGGCCCUGCUGUUGACCUGGUUUCAACUCGGCGGGGAAUCCUUACAUCCCUGUGUCUACACUUUUAACUUUGUUGGCUUGAGAAAUUGGGCUAACGUAUUGAAACAAUAUACAAAUAUACAACUCUUUGCAAUGGAUAUCUUGGUUCUC